AAAUACAGGUUGACAAGUGCUAAGAGAGAAGUCAGAGGCUGUGGGAACAGAGAGGAGGAGUAUCUAACCAGCCUGGAGUAUCUGGAAGACUUCCUGAAGGAGGAGAAAACACCUGGGCUAAAUCUUAAAGGAAGACCAGAAGCUACCCAGGGAAAGAAGUGAAGGAAGGCAUUAUAAACAGAGAGGCCAGGAGAUUCCAGCCUCAGCAUUCCCAGAGAAGGCCCAGGAUCUCCCUGAGAGGCCCAGUUGGUGUUUGUGGAAUCAUCACUCCUCUGGUGAUCACGCAGUUUGCCUCACUUUCUCCAUGGAGCUCUUUGCUAAAGGACAUUCUCCUCCAGCUGUGAAGGAAAAGCCCAACAAAAGGCAGGGUACUUUGUUCUAACUGAGGAUGUCUACUGACACAGCCAAGCUGUAAAGCAGACCACGGACGGCAGUGCAGCGGGGAGAACAACUCUACAUCUGGUUGGAGGUGGAGUAAUGUCCAGUCUGGGCACAGAGAGAUGGCAGGUGUGCAGCUGCACUCAGCAUGGGAUAGAGCACCACCUGCCAGGCCAGAACAGAAAGAAGGGCGACGGAGACUGGCAGAGAAACAGCAAUUACUGCUCAGUGAGAAGUAAACAGCGUCUGCUUCCAGAGGCUUUACGGACCAGAAAGCCCACAGGAAAUAGCUCCUGCUUCCCAGCCUGGAGGUCCUCAUGCACUAGCCCUCCCUGCUACAAUUUUGAUGGUUUUUCGCAUAUUUACAGAAUUGUGCAACCAUCACCAUGAUCAGUCUUAGAAGAGUUAAUCACCCCUGACCCCAGAAAACUCUGUAUUCAUUAGCAGUCACUCCCUUUCCCCUUUCCACCCCUCUCCAACAUUAGGCAACCACUAAUCUACUCUCUGUCUCCAUAAACUGGUCUAUUUUGGACAUUUCACAUAAGCCUCCCUGGAUCCCAGUUUAAGCAUCCUGGGGUUUGUCUGCCUGCCAGAGCCAUGGUGCCACUGGGGCUACCUGUCCUGUGGGAUGACAAGGCAGGUCCAAACCUUUGCCUGCUCUCCCAUCCAUUCCUUUUGUGUUAGUCCAUGUGUCUCCCGACUGUUCUCUCCAACAACAACACAGACUGACAAAACCUACUGACUUGGAGUCAGGAACAGACUUUGCUAUUUUCUGGCUGUGUGAUCCUGAUGAGUCCCUUGAACCUCCUGGACUUGUUCCUCAGCCUAAAAACCAAGACUAAUAAAUCAAGUCUAUCUCACAGCCUUACGUGGGGAUCAAAAAACAUGGAGCAUGUGAACACACAUUGUACAUCACGAAGCUGUAUGCAAAUAAAUAUCGUGUAACUCCAGCCCUUUUUGAGUUUAUAAAUAAAAGUGAAAACCUCAUAAC
rnacentral:lncRNA from 1 species